CUAACAGUGCAGGGGGGCGGUGGGGGAAAGCAGGCUGUGAUAUUACCUCUGCUGUGCGAAUUAGGGGGCCUCUCUGCCCCUCUCUGGGCCUCAGGGACAACAUCACCCCCUCCGGGGGUGGGUGCAUCGAAGCCCCCCAUUCCAGCUUGGGCCUGCUAGAACUGGCCAGCUUGGGGCUGUGGAUGUAGCCGUCCCAGAGUGAAGGGAGGAAAGCGUCCCUGUCUGUUUCUUCCCUGCCCUGCCCCCAACGCAGGUGUGAAUCAGCCCAGGUGAGGAAACUGACUCACCUUCCCACCUGGGCCUGGAGAAAGGGCCACUUUCCCUUCCCCCCCGGGUUGGAAUCAAACUUGAACUUGACUGUUAACUUCCAGAAGAGAGUGACUCUGACGCGUUGGCGGCGGGUGGGGGCGGCUACAAUGCAAAGACUUGGGGAUGUCAGGUCCUUGGAGGAAGACACCAAGUGCCGGGCUCAUGGCAUCCACUUGGCAGACAUGACCUUAGAGGAUCCUCGAGCCACCUGUCGGUAAGUACCCUCAGUUAGGGAGGCCGAGGCCCAGUGUGGGGGGGUCACUCACCUAAGGUCACGCUGCCCGGGUAAGUGCCUGUGGACCGAGAUCUGACCCAAGCCUGGGAUUUUCGUUUUUGGAGGAACCUUCUUGCCCCAUCUUACACCCCCCAGCCCUACGCUGUGAGUUCGCCCCCUGCCCCGCCUUAGAGACCAGGGGAGGCUGGGAGGGGCCGAGGCAGGGGGAGCUGAGGGUUCGCACCCCCCACCUGUGUCACGGGGUCCAGGGGCCGCCAGGGAAAUGGCGGACCCCUCAUCUGCGCCCCCAUCACGGGUUAAGUCUUUCCCCCAACAUUCUGCUGUUGUUAAUCGUUAAGCGGCCUGAUGAUUAAUUAAUUACCAAGACCCACGGGGGCUUGCUUGAGUGCACCUGGUGCCGGUGACCAGGGCGCCCUCUCCCCGGCGCCCCAUUCCCCAGCCACCAGCGUGCCCAGAGAGACACAUGGGUGAGGGUCACGAGACUCAGAUGCAGACGGGGGCAGCACUGUCACCACUGGGGUCAAACCCUGCUCUGUCCUGGGCCCUGGUCACAGCACGGCCCUCGGCUGGCAGGGGACGGGGCGACAGGCAGAGCGAGAGCCGCCAGAGGAAGGAUGACAGAGCCCAAGAGGCCGGACAGGGCGAGGAGGGCUGCUGGGGCCUCCUCCUAGCCUCGCUUCCAUGAGGUCUGUUUGAAUUCCACAGGGCACACCGGGAGCGGCCCGAAUCUUUGCGUCCUCGCCGCAAGGCUCCGAGGACCAUCUGAACCAGUGUGGGUUCUGACCCCUCUACCCCUUCGCCAGCCCGAGCCUCGGUUUCCCUCAUCUGCCUGCCUGUCCUGCCUGCCUCCCAGGGUGAACCGAGCUGAAGGAUUCUCUAGUGGAAACACUGGGGGCAGCUGGUGGGUGUGGAGGAGACUUGGGGGCAGGGUUCUUGCCGAGAAGCAGUAGGACAGGGCACAGGACUCCUAACUCAGGGAGUGACUUUGGCCAAAUCCUUUCUUCUCUCUCAGCCUCAGUUUCCCCAUCUAUAAAACAAUACGGCCUCAGCGAAUGCCCAGGACCUUGGGGGGACCUCUAAUGGUCCACGUGUGACUCUGCCAUCCUUCAUUCGACGAGCCCUCGCUGAUGGACAUGAGGUCGUUUCCAGCUUUUCUCCAUCAGACACAAUGCCACGACGAACGUCUUUGCCCUGUCCCUUUGGCACCUGCUGGGUGGUUCCCAGAGCGUAGAAGUUGCCUUAGGAGAGUUACUGGGUCAAAAGCACACGUCCGCACCUUGGAGAGCGACCCACAUCGACACACACAGGGCUUCCUCACCCUUUCCCAUGGCUGAGGUGUGUGGCGUCCCACGGCUUCUUUAAGGAGACCGCGGGCGGAAGUGUAAUUUAUUUAUUUAGAAAAGCAAGGGAAGGGCUUAACGAGAGCGUCCUUCCUCGCAUCUGCGGCGGCUUUGGGUCUGGACGCCACCACGUGCCACGUGGGGGGCCUCGCGACUUGCUGCUUCUCUCCCAGCCCCAGGUUUCUUGCCCGGAAGACGGUCAUUGUAUCCGGGACGUUUUGCUAACUGGUAGCCCGCGGGCUGCCUGUACCCUGCUCCUGGAUGCGUUUUGCUCCCCCCGAGUUUUCCAAAAUCUGGAGUGUUCACGGUGAAACCCCGGCUUUGGAAAAUUCAAGUCUGGCAAGAGGCGGCUCACAGCCCUUUGGAUGGCGCAAGGGUACUCCGCUUGGCCACAGGCCCCACCAUGCCGCAGUGACCAUUUGAAUGUGCUCCUGCCUGAUCUUAUCGGCCUCGUCCUCAGGGGGCUCUCGGGCUGCUGGCGUUAAGACUUGGGCAAGCAUAAUGGGGGCUUUGUGAACUCCCCAGGGCCAGGGUCCCCAGCACCCUGCCCGGGGCCCAGCUUCACCUUCCAAAGUGUCUGGGAUUCGGUGGCCGGAGCCUUGGCUAGUGCAGACCUGGGGCCCCGAGCAGGAGGCUCCAGAGAGUCUCCCUUCCCAGAAGGGAAGAGGGAGUGCUGGCACCACGUCUGGGAAGGGCUCCGGGCUCUGAGCCAGGCAGCUGCGUCCCAAGAGGCAGUGGCUAAGUCUUCUUCCCUAGGCUGGAGCCGGAAGCUAGUCCACAGGCACCUGGAGUUUCCAUCUCCUGGUCCCCAGGAUGCGAAUUCCUGCUCACCACCCCCCACGCCUUCCUCUUCCUCACCUACAUUUGGCAGCCGCAUCCUGUAGGUUGGGCCAGGCCUAAAGGGGAGGCAGGACGUGGGUGGGUUCCCAGGGGAACCUCAGUGGCAUCCUUUCUCCAGGGCGGUGGAAAUCUCUUCUUGGCCCCCGGGGUGCCUUGAAACGCGGUUUGAAAACCACUGAUGGAGCCCUUUUGACAGAUGGCAAACA